AACGAACGCUGGCGGCAGGCCUAACACAUGCAAGUCGAGCGAGGACUUCGGUUCUAGCGGCGGACGGGUGAGUAACGCGUGGGAAUGUGCCCUUCUCUACGGAAUAGCCCUGGGAAACUGGGAGUAAUACCGUAUACGCCCUAUUGGGGAAAGAUUUAUCGGAGAAGGAUCAGCCCGGGUUGGUUUAGGUAGUUGGUGGUGUAAUGGCCUACCAAGCCGACGAUCCAUAGCUGGUUUGAGAGGAUGAUCAGCCACACUGGGACUGAGACACGGCCCAGACUCCUACGGGAGGGAGCAGUGGGGAAUCUUAGAAAAUGGGGGCAAUCCUGAUCUAGCCAUGCCGCGUGAGUGAUGAAGGCCUUAGGGUUGUAAAGCUCUUUCAGCUGGGAAGAUAAUGACGGUACCAGCAGAAGAAGCCCCGGCUAACUCCGUG
rnacentral:rRNA from 1 species